rnacentral:rRNA from 1 species
ACGUAGGGCGCAAGCGUUGUCCGGAAUUAUUGGGCGUAAAGAGCUCGUAGGCGGUUUGUCGCGUCUGGUGUGAAAACUCAAGGCUCAACCUUGAGCUUGCAUCGGGUACGGGCAGACUAGAGUGUGGUAGGGGUGACUGGAAUUCCUGGUGUAGCGGUGGAAUGCGCAGAUAUCAGGAGGAACACCGAUGGCGAAGGCAGGUCACUGGGCCACUACUGACGCUGAGGAGCGAAAGCAUGGGGAGCGAACAGGAUUAGAUACCCUGGUAGUCCAUGCCGUAAACGUUGGGCACUAGGUGUGGGGCUCAUUCCACGAGUUCCGCGCCGCAGCUAACGCAUUAAGUGCCCCGCCUGGGGAGUACGGCCGCAAGGCUA